rnacentral:rRNA from 1 species
GAUGAACGCUGGCGGCGUGCCUAAUACAUGCAAGUCGAGCGAACGGACGAGAAGCUUGCUUGUCGGAUGUUAGGGGAGGAGGGGUGAGUAACACGAGUAUAACCUACCUAUAAGACUGGGAUAACUUCGGGAAACCGGAGCAUAUACCGGAUAAUCUUUUGAACCGCGUGGUUGAAAAGUGAAAGACGGCCUUGCUGGCACGUAUAGAUGGAUCCGCGCUGGAUUAGCUAGUUGGUACGGUAACGGCUUAUCAAGGCAACUAUGCAUAGCCGACCUGAGAGGGUGAUCGCCGACCCUGGAGCGUGGACAGGGUCCAUACGCCUACGGGAGGCAGCAGUAGGCUAUCUUCCGCAGCAGGCGAAAGCCUUGCGGAACGGCGCCGCGUGAGUGGUGGAGGUCUUCCGAGCGUAAUACUCUGUUAUGAGUUAAGAACAUAUGUGUAAGUUACUGUGCACAUCUUGACGGUACCUGAUCAGGAAGCCCCGGCUAACUACGUG